GCUCAAAUUUGAAAUCUUAAAGGGUUUCCCUUUACGAAUUGUAGUUUAAAGAAGUGUUUUCUGUUGAGGUUUUGGUAAAAGUUCUUUGGAAUAGGACAUCAUAGAGGGUGAGAAUCCCGUAUUUGACCUUUACUUUCAACUUUGUGAUACACUUUCAAAGAGUCGGAUUGUUUGGGAAUGCAGUCCAAAAUGGGUGGUAAAUUUCAUCUAAGGCUAAAUAUUGGCGAGAGACCGAUAGCGAACAAGUACCGUGAGGGAAAGAUGAAAAGAACUUUGAAAAGAGAGUUAAACAGCACGUGAAAUUGUCAAAAGGGAAGCGUUUGACACCAGUGUUGUUUUUCUGAAAAUCAAUUAAAGAACUGUUUAUGCUAAGUUGUUUAGACUUUAUCAGCUAACUGUUUAGUUUUGAGCUUUUCUUUAAUGCACUUUUCAGUUAACAAG
rnacentral:rRNA from 1 species